GCACAAGCGGUGGAGCAUGUGGUUAAUUCGAUGAUACGCGAGGAACCUUACCUGGGCUUAAAUGUAGAGUGCAUUUUCUAGAGAUAGGAAUUCCCUUCGGGGCUUUCUGCAAGGUGCUGCAUGGUUGUCGUCAGCUCGUGCCGUGAGGUGUCGGGUUAAGUCCCAUAACGAGCGCAACCCUUAUCGUUAGUUGCCAUCUGGUAAAGCAGGGGACUCUAGCGAAACUGCCACCGUAAGGUGAGAGGAAGGUGGGGAUGACGUCAAAUCAGCACGGCCCUUAUGUCCAGGGCUACACACGUGUUACAAUGGCCGGUACAGAGGGCAGCUACCUGGUGACAGGAUGCUAAUCUCGAAAACCGGUCUCAGUUCGGAUCGAAGUCUGCAACUCGACUUCGUGAAGCUGGAUUCGCUAGUAAUCGCGCAUCAGCCAUGGCGCGGUGAAUACGUUCCCGGGCCUU
rnacentral:rRNA from 1 species